UACGGAGGGGGCUAGCGUUGUUCGGAAUUACUGGGCGUAAAGCGCGCGCAGGUGGUCUUUCAAGUCAGUGGUGAAAGCCCGGAGCUCAACUCCGGAACUGCCAUUGAAACUGUGAGACUUGAGGACGAGAGAGGUGAGUGGAAUUCCCAGUGUAGAGGUGAAAUUCGUAGAUAUUGGGAAGAACACCGGUGGCGAAGGCGGCUCACUGGCUCGUUUCUGACGCUCAGGCGCGACAGCGUGGGGAUCAAACAGG
rnacentral:rRNA from 1 species